GCAUCGGUGGUUCAGUGGUAGAAUACUCGCCUGCCACGCGGGCGGCCCGGGUUCGAUUCCCGACCGAUGCA
rnacentral:tRNA from 1 species